rnacentral:rRNA from 1 species
UACGGAAGGCAGCAGUGGGGAAUAUUGCACAAUGGGCGAAAGCCUGAUGCAGCUAUGCCGCGUGUAUGAAGAAGGCCUUAGGGUUGUAAAGUACUUUCAUCGGGGAGGAAAAACAAAACUAAUAAUUUUAUUUCUUGACGUUACCCGAAAAAGAAGCACCGGCUAACUCCGUGCCAGCAGCCGCGGUAAUACGGAGGGUGCUAGCGUUAAUCAGAAUUACUGGGCGUAAAAGAGCACGUAGGUGGUUUUUUUAAGUCAGAUGUGAAAUCCCUGGGCUUAACCUAGGAACUGCAUUUUGAAAACUGAAAUACUAGAGUAUCGUAGAGGGAGGUAGAAUUCUAGGUGUAGCGGUGAAAAUGCGUAGAUAUCUGGAGGAAUACCUGUGGCGAAAAGCGGCCUCCUAAACGAAUACUGACACUGAGGUGCGAAAAGCGUGGGGAGCAAAACAGGGAUUAGAUACC